UAGCAGCACAGAAUGGUUUGUGAGUUAUAACGGGGGUGCAGGCCGUACUGUGCUGCGGC
ensembl:miRNA mir15a-1 microRNA 15a